GACCAGACUCCUACGGGAGGCAGCAGUGGGGAAUAUUGCACAAUGGGGGAAACCCUGAUGCAGCAACGCCGCGUGAGUGAAGAAGUAUUUCGGUAUGUAAAGCUCUAUCAGCAGGGAAGAAGAUGACGGUACCUGAUUAAGAAGCCCCGGCUAACUACGUGCCAGCAGCCGCGGUAAUACGUAGGGGGCAAGCGUUAUCCGGAUUUACUGGGUGUAAAGGGAGCGCAGACGGCAGUGCAAGUCUGGAGUGAAAGCCCGGGGCCCAACCCCGGAACUGCUCUGGAAACUGUGCGGCUAGAGUGCUGGAGGGGCAGGCGGAAUUCCUAGUGUAGCGGUGAAAUGCGUAGAUAUUAGGAGGAACACCAGUGGCGAAGGCGGCCUGCUGGACAGUAACUGACGUUGAGGCUCGAAAGCGUGGGGAGCAAACAGGAUUAGAUACCCCUGUA
rnacentral:rRNA from 1 species